AUGGAUGGGAACACAAGAGGAGGAGGCGGACAUUCUGAAGCAUUAAAGAACUACAAUCUGGGCAGAACAUUAGGUAUUGGCUCAUUUGGAAAACUGAAGCUUGCAGAGCAUAAGCAUAAGCUUACAGGACACAAAGUUGCUAUAAAGAUCCUGAACCGCCGCCAAAUGGGAAUUAUGGAAAUGGAAGAGAAAGCAAAUAGAGAAAUCAAGAAAUUGAGGUUGUUCAUUGACUUAAUUCACCCUCAUAUCAUCCGGGUUUAUGAGGUCAUUGGCACACCUAAGGAUAUAUUUGUUGUCAUGGAAUAA
rnacentral:rRNA from 1 species